UACGUAGGGUCCGAGCGUUGUCCGGAAUUAUUGGGCGUAAAGGGCUCGUAGGCGGUUCGUCACGUCGGGAGUGAAAACUCGGGGCUUAACCCCGAGCCUGCUUCCGAUACGGGCAGACUAGAGGUAGGCAGGGGAGAGCGGAACUCCUGGUGUAGCGGUGGAAUGCGCAGAUAUCAGGAAGAACACCCGUGGCGAAGGCGGCUCUCUGGGACGGUACUGACGCUGAGGUGCGAAAGCGUGGGGAGCAAACAGG
rnacentral:rRNA from 1 species